AAAGGAGCCAGCUACGCCCACAGGGCGCCCUGAUGACGUCAGAGCGCGCGGGUGGAUGGCGUCUUCCUCGCGCCCCGAGCGGUUGGCGCUCUCGCGAGAUGGGGGCCGGGCCGGGGUGAGCCGUGGAGCCGGACGCAGGGAGGUGGGGUGCGCGCGGCCCCGCUUCCCGCCCGCCCGGGACAUGGCCCCGAGGAGCCGCCCCGCAGUGACCCCCGCGCCGCGCGCCGCCGACAUGCGCAGGAGAGGGGCCCGCAAGCGCCUCAAGUUCCGGGCCGAUGACGUCUGCUCCGAGCGGGUGACGGUGGCGGAUUAUGCCAACUCUGACCCUGCCAUCGUCAAAUCCGGACGCAUGAAAAAAGCUGUGGCCAACGCGGUGCAGCAGGAAGUAAAAUCCCUCUGUGGUUUGGAAGCCUCACGUGUUCCUGCUGAGGAAGUGCUCUCAGUGACUGGGGAAUCCUGUGACAGUAGCGAUGAAAUGGAUGCUAAGGAAAGCACCAACGAGAGAACUGCCUCUAGAAAAAAGAAAAGCAAGAGGCACAAAGAAAACCCUGAUGAGGCUGUUGGAGAGGAUUAUCCCAUUGACAUCUGGCUGUUGCUGGCCUCCUACAUACGUCCAGAAGAUACAGUGAAGUUUUCUCUGAUUUGCAAAAAAGCCUGGACUGUCACUUGCACUGCUGCCUUUUGGACCAGACUCUACAGAAGGCACUACACUCUGGAUGCAUACCUGCCUCUCCGUUUACGGCCAGAAUCGAUGGAAAGGCUGCACUGCCUCCGUGCGUGUGUCAUCCGUUCAUUAUACCACAUGUAUGAACCUUUUGCUUCUCGUGUCUCCAGGAAUCCGGCUGUUCCAGAGACUACCCCUAGCACUUUAAAGAAUUCCAGCGUAAGUAGUAGUGUUUGGGGAAGUGAACUAACCUGUGUUCAGCUGGUACACUCUCUCUGCUUUUUGUUAUUCCCCUUUCAGAGAAAUAAAUCUGAUUCAGAUGGACCCUAGUGAAAUAAAUGCACUGGAUCAGUGAUAUACAUAGGAAGAGUCUGACUUCUGAAGUUUUAUCAGUUACCUCUGUUUGUACAGCCCCUAGCACAAUGGGGUCCUGGUGUGUAGCUCCUAAGCACUCCAGUAAUACAAAUUAGGAAAAUGUCAUUUUACAGUGGUGGAAGCUCGGUCACUGACACAAUCCACAAUUGUCCCCUUCCCUCCUGUACACAACCCAGGUUCCAAAAGGAGUUUGAGCUAGGGAGGCAUUUUUGUCUACUACUUGCACUGUUGUAACUAUAUUAUUUUGGAAUGUUUCUUCUGGGUCAGUGGCAGAGGAUCACAAAUGCCACUGACAGCCUCUAAAAGGACAGUCCUUUCACACCGCGCUCCUGCAGACCAUCACCUUUGGUUUCUCUGAAGGGGGGAGUGUCAUGAGGUGGGGAGCUAGCGUGCGAAGCAAGUGCCUGCUUUGGGGUGUGGCUGUGAAGCUGGGGAGAAAUUGUCUGCUGUGUCAUUGGGCAAAACCAAACUGCAGUCCUUGCUUAGAGCAUUUGUGUAUCUAGCCCUCUUUAGUCACUGUUUAUCAUUAACCCCUAGUUCUGUCUGUUUCUAGCCUGGCUUUAAUUUACUAUUGGCUGACACGUGGCAAGCCAGUUUGGUUUUCGGUCUCAAGGGGAGUGGUUUUGGUUGGACACUAUACCAUUGAUACUCAGACUGAGGCUUGGGAGCCGAGCCAUAGGUGGCUCUUUAAUGUCUCUCUUGCAGCACAUGAUGUUAAAAAACUGUAUCAUUUAAUUAUUAACCAAUCAGGAUGCUUUUACUGUGUUAUUAACCAACUUGUCGAAUACCCGCAGUCAUUUUACUGUGAGAGUAAAUAAAACAAUGAAUUCCCACGACUGUGGCUUUUUGGGGUAAUGUUGAUGGGUGAUUUGGCUCCUGAACCCCUGAGAUCUGAGUAUCACUGCUCUAUGCAAACUACAACAAAUCUAUUUCUUUGCUGUGCGACAUCUCUGCUGCUUCUGUCCUUCCCCAUGUGAAGACACUGCUAAAGUGGCAAGUUACCCUGAGAUAAGACUGAGAACAGCGAGCAGCAACAGCUUGUGUGGGACACUGGAGCCGUUGUGGUGUCAGCAGAAGUGUUUGCCCUUUAAAGACACCCCCAUUAUUUUUGGUGGAGCAGCAGGCCAU